GGAGCUCAUGAAGCUUCGUAAGGACUGCGGUAUUAAUCUUACGCAGUCAGUAUGCAAAGUUGCACCCCCGCCUGGAUCUUCCACCAAUGGUUCUUCCUCACACAACUCUACACCUUCAAGCAGUCUAAAAAGUGCAG